GUAGGAACCGCAGCUGGAUCCGAAAUCCAAGCUCCGGCAAAGCGGUACUGAGGGGCUACUGUGAACAGCUGGGGGCGCUCGCUUCCCAGUUGGGGCUGAGUUUGGAGGAGAGGAAGGGAAACAGAUUAAGGAGUCAGUGAGGGUGGUGGGAAGGUCCGAGUUGCAAAGAAUGCAUCUGAAGUUGGAGGGUGCACAGGGUUCUUUUUUAAAAGCUGCGCUCGAGAAGCUAUCUCCUGGGAAAAAUAAGCUCCCUUGGUCUUUGAUGCAGCUUUUCGCCUUUCACCAAUAACAAGACAGGACAGCGAAAGACUGAAAGGACGAAGGUAAAGCUAGUCCUGGUGAUGUACGCCUAGAACCCCAGCACUCAGGAGGUAGAGGUGGGAGGGCCAAAGGGUCAAGGUCAAUUUGACCUAUGUAACAAAACGCUUUUUCAAAAAUAAACUAAACAAAAAGUCUCCCAAACCAAAUACCAUUUCUAAAGGAAGAAAAAACAGAAUAAAUAUUUUUUACAUAGUACUUAGCUUCUUGAAAUUCUCCUGAAACCCAGCUAACAUAUAGUUUGUAAUAUUGUUAGCAAUUGUUAAGGUAUGUGUGUAUAGAAUAUUUGUAUAUGUGUGUUUAUAUUUGUCUAUGAAAUAGAUAAAAUAAGCCAUGAAGAUUAUAAUCAAAAUGAUUUUUAAUAAAUCUAUUGAAUUGAAGAGGUUAUAUGACUUCAUGAGAAAAAUCUGAUUAAAAUGUAUUUUUCAAAACAGUGUAUCAGAUACAAAGCAUCAACCUUCUUGUGAACUUCUCUGAGGACCAAGCUCUUCAUAUAUUCAUGGUAUAUGAAUAACCUUAUAUUUGAGGUACAUGUGUAGUGGC
rnacentral:lncRNA from 1 species